AACAAGCAGCAACCCUACCCGGCAACAAGCUACCCUGAUGCCUCGAAGCCAAUUAGAAGUGACCCCUUCCAGCUCCAUACCACUAUAAUGUAACCAGGAAGUGAUUUCAAGUGAACUUUAUGUAAAUAGAGCAUCGUAAGGGCAAAACAAGCAUUUUAGGGACGAAACGGGCAGUCAAUUGAAAAGCGUCUUAAGUGGUGUCCAACGAAAGUCGGGCAACAAUCCUUCAAUGCCUUUCCAUACAAUGCCCUCCUUGCAAAGGCAGUGUUGUCAAGAUAACUGGUUGGAGUGCUGCAGAUAAAGGACCCCGCGUUCUGCUCGGGAAUCAUUUUGAUAAAAAAGAAGAAAAGGAGGAUUAACAACAUGGCUGGAGGAAGAGGAGUAAUAUUAAACACAGAAGGCACAAUAGACACGUCAUUGCAGCAAAGUAGUUAAAAACACUUUCAAUGCUCUUACAAUCAGAUGGUAAAUGUGAAAUGAAUGAACUUCCAGCCAUCAAGUUGACUUGCAUUAUUGUGUGAGGAACAUUGAGGGACCACAGGUAUCUGUAAGACAUUUAUCAGAAAAGAAUUCUUCCAUGAAUUACAUUGCACUGCUACAGGGGUCUAUCCAAUGAAGCAUGGGCUGUUAAUGACUGGCCCUAGGUUAAGCGGUGUUGAGUAAAGAGUACCCUCUGGAUUCCCCAGCUGUGCAGGUUGAACCAUGUCCCAGCCACCUACAUACACCUCCAUGCUGAAAACAGAACAUGAAACUUCAGUGAGUUUUCUGGAUCCUUUGUUUCCCCUCUCUGGGAUGUUAUGAA